UACGAAGGGGGCUAGCGUUGCUCGGAAUCACUGGGCGUAAAGCGCACGUAGGCGGCUUGUUAAGUCAGGGGUGAAAUCCUGGAGCUCAACUCCAGAACUGCCUUUGAUACUGGCGAGCUUGAGUUCGGGAGAGGUGAGUGGAACUGCGAGUGUAGAGGUGAAAUUCGUAGAUAUUCGCAAGAACACCAGUUGCGAAGGCGGCUCGCUGGCCCGAUACUGACGCUGAGGUGCGAAAGCGUGGGGAGCAAACAGG
rnacentral:rRNA from 1 species